GAUGAACGCUGGCGGCGUGCCUAAUACAUGCAAGUCGAGCGAACAGACGAGGAGCUUGCUCCUCUGACGUUAGCGGCGGACGGGUGAGUAACACGUGGAUAACCUACCUAUAAGACUGGGAUAACUUCGGGAAACCGGAGCUAAUACCGUAUAAUAUAUUGAACCGCAUGGGUCAAUAGUGAAAUACGGUUUUGCUGUCACUUAUAGAUGGAUCCGCGCCGCAUUAGCUGGUUGGUAAGGUAACGGCUUACCAAGGCGACGAUGCGUAGCCGACCUGAGAGGGUGAUCGGCCACACUGGAACUGAGACACGGUCCAGACUCCUACGGGAGGCAGCAGUAGGGAAUCUUCCGCAAAGGGCGAAAGCCUGACGGAGCAACGCCGCGUGAGUGAUGAAGGUCUUCGGAUCGUAAAACUCUGUUAUUAGGGAAGAACAAAUGUGUAAGUAACUAUGCACGUCUUGACGGUACCUAAUCAGAAAGCCACGGCUAACUACGUG
rnacentral:rRNA from 1 species